rnacentral:rRNA from 1 species
GUGGGGAAUCUUGCGCAAUGGGCGAAAGCCUGACGCAGCCAUGCCGCGUGGAUGAUGAAGGUCUUAGGAUUGUAAAAUCCUUUCACCGGUGAAGAUAAUGACUGUAGCCGGAGAAGAAGCCCCGGCUAACUUCGUGCCAGCAGCCGCGGUAAUACGAAGGGGGCUAGCGUUGCUCGGAUUUACUGGGCGUAAAGGGCGCGUAGGCGGACAGCUUAGUCAGAGGUGAAAGCCCAGGGCUCAACCUUGGAAUUGCCUUUGAUACUGGCUGUCUUGAGUUUGGGGGAGGUGAGUGGAACUCCGAGUGUAGAGGUGAAAUUCGUAGAUAUUCGGAAGAACACCAGUGGCGAAGGCGACUCACUGGCCCAAUACUGACGCUGAGGCGCGAAAGCGUGGGGAGCAAACAGGAUUAGAAACCCGGGUAGUCC